rnacentral:rRNA from 1 species
UUCUGUCAGUACGUCACAGCUAGCAGGUAUUAACUACUAACCUUUCCUCCUGACUGAAAGUGCUUUACAACCCGAAGGCCUUCUUCACACACGCGGCAUGGCUGCAUCAGGCUUGCGCCCAUUGUGCAAUAUUCCCCACUGCUGCCUCCCGUAGGA